rnacentral:rRNA from 1 species
GCGGAAGGAUCAUUAAUGAAUUCACUAUGGAGUUGUUGCUGGCCUCUAGGGGCAUGUGCACGCUUCACUAGUCUUUCAACCACCUGUGAACUUUUGAUAGAUCUGUGAAGUCGUCCUUCAAGUCGUCAGACUUGGUUUGCUGGGAUUUAAACGUCUCGGUGUGACAACGCAGUCUAUUUACUUAACACACCCCAAAUGUAUGUCUACGAAUGUCAUUUAAUGGGCCUUGUGCCUAUAAACCAUAAUACAACUUUCAACAACGGAUCUCUUGGCUCUCGCAUCGAUGAAGAACGCAGCGAAAUGCGAUAAGUAAUGUGAAUUGCAGAAUUCAGUGAAUCAUCGAAUCUUUGAACGCACCUUGCGCCCCUUGGUAUUCCGAGGGGCAUGCCUGUUUGAGUGUCAUUAAAUUCUCAAACUCACAUUUAUUUGUGAUGUUUGGAUUGUUGGGGGUUGCUGGCUGUAACAAGUCGGCUCCUCUUAAAUGCAUUAGCAGGACUUCUCAUUGCCUCUGCGCAUGAUGUGAUAAUUAUCACUCAUCAAUAGCACGCAUGAAUAGAGUCCAGCUCUCUAAUCGUCCGCAAGGACAAUUUGACAAUUUGACCCUCAAAUCAGGUAGGACUACCCGCUGAACUUAAGCAUAUCAAUAAGCGGAGGAAAAGAAACUAACAAGGAUUCCCCUAGUAACUGCGAGUGAAGCGGGAAAAGCUCAAAUUUAAAAUCUGGUGGUCUUUGGCCAUCCGAGUUGUAAUCUAGAGAAGUGUUAUCCGCGCUGGACCGUGUACCAAACUUUUCCCGAAAAAAACCAUAGAGGGUGAGAAUCUCGUCUUUGACACCGACUACCAGGGCUUUGUGAUGCACUCUCAAAGAGUCGAGUUGUUUGGGAAUGCA